UACAUCGGAACGUGUCCUGGAGUGGGGGAUAGCCCGGCGAAAGCCGGAUUAAUACCGCAUACGCUCUGAGGAGGAAAGGGGGGGAUCGCAAGACCUCUCGCUCAAGGGGCGGCCGAUGGCAGAUUAGCUAGUUGGUGGGGUAAAGGCCUACCAAGGCGACGAUCUGUAGCUGGUCUGAGAGGACGACCAGCCACACUGGGACUGAGACACGGCCCAGACUCCUACGGGAGGCAGCAGUGGGGAAUUUUGGACAAUGGGCGCAAGCCUGAUCCAGCAAUGCCGCGUGUGUGAAGAAGGCCUUCGGGUUGUAAAGCACUUUUGUCCGGAAAGAAAACCUCAGCCCUAAUACGGCGGGGGGAUGACGGUACCGGAAGAAUAAGCACCGGCUAACUACGUGCCAGCAGCCGCGGUAAUACGUAGGGUGCAAGCGUUAAUCGGAAUUACUGGGCGUAAAGCGUGCGCAGGCGGUUCGUUAAGACAGAUGUGAAAUCCCCGGGCUUAACCUGGGAACUGCAUUUGUGACUGGCGGGCUAGAGUAUGGCAGAGGGGGGUAGAAUUCCACGUGUAGCAGUGAAAUGCGUAGAGAUGUGGAGGAAUACCGAUGGCGAAGGCAGCCCCCUGGGCCAAUACUGACGCUCAUGCACGAAAGCGUG
rnacentral:rRNA from 1 species